rnacentral:miRNA from 14 species
CCCAGGAGCCGGGGUCCACCAGGUUGCCUAAGGAGGGGUGAACUUGCCCAGGUUCAG